AAUCAAAUAAGAAUACGGUAUUUCCCUCUCCCGGUAAAAUAUUACUUGGCUGUAUUAUAUCUCAUCAUAUCUAGGAAAAAAAAACCCCGAAAACCCCUCGUUUUGAAUUUCAGGAGUUCACCUCUGAAAGCCACCUGAAAGCAAUCAAUUUUAUCGUAUAUUUAAAGGUACUGGUGAGGUAAGACUUUCAUGGGAUUUUACUCUUCUUUUUUCCCAUGAUUUUGAACUUUCCAUAUUUUUCCUUUCAGCCAUCAGUUUCGGCGUAAAUUCGUAGGCUUCGGUGAGGUACAACAACUAGAACUCAAGUGGGUAGACGAGUAUCCAAUGGGUUGUACAAGAAAGGCAAACUCAUGGACAAAUAUUGUCAAACCCACAUACACAUGUCCAAGCUAAUCUAACGGUCAUUGAUCAACUAGAUAACCAUUUGGUAGGUGGCCAAGCUCCUAGUUCACUUGUUAAAGAGCCAAUACAACAAAAUACAUGUGAGGUUACUAAUAACAAUGGGAGUACAAACGGGACAUGAUAAUAAUCAAGAAAAUGCCACGAUUUGAUAUCACUCUUGGAGAUGAACAUUGGAUUCUAACAUCCAUUAGUAAGAAAUGGAGAAACUGGAAGAGCAAUCUAAAAGCACGAUAUUUCCUCCCAGAUAGAGAAGGCAAAGUUUUAGAUGACCCGGACGAAAUAGUAUUGCAAGAUCAAUGGACUAAUAUGCUUGUUUAUUGAAACAAAGAGGAAGUAAAUGUGUAUUAUAUAUUUUAUUAGAUAUGCGUUUACUUAAUAAUUUUUUUAAAAAUUAUAUUUUAACUAUUCUUUUCCAUAGUUAGUCGAGAAGUGAAAAGAAUCAAGUUACUAGAUCAAAGAGAGUCAUGAAUCAUCUUACUGGAAAAUUAUCAUUUACACAAGUUCAAUACAAAUUGGUGAGCUAUGUUAGUUUUCUUAAAGUUCCCCACCCCAACGCAAAAUAAACAUAUUAUCUUCCACAUCAAACACAUCGUAAAAAUAUGGCAUAACUAGCCCCUAUCACAAAACCAAAAGUUUCAGCCCACAUAGUUGUCUGGCUAACGUUCUUCAUCGUCGAUGAAGCCAUCCACGGCCAGAUCCUCCAAAGGCAGAGGCGUUUCGGGCACCAAUGUGUCUGGCUCCAAGGCCCAUGAAAAAAUCAGGACUUAUUUAGUUGGGUUGUCGUCAACGGCUAUGAAUAAGUGGGAAGAGACUCCGUAAGAGGUGGAGACUGUGAAUCAGUUCGAAAAUUGAUGAUUAAAAGAGAGAAUCACCACUUGCAGAGAGACAAGUCGGAGGGCGGCGGCCGUAUCCAUCUCUGAAGACUGAGAUUUAAAGAGAGAAUCACCGUUGACUGAAAUUAGGGUUUUAAGUCAGUGGAAUUUAAACGGAAUGAGGAAGGCGGCGAUACAUAUGAGAGAUUAGGGUUUCCAGACAGUGGAGAAACUCCAAAUAUGAAGGAAGAAGUCGACGAUUUGCAAAUUACGCUUGAGAGAUUAGGAUGGUAAAGAAUGAAUGAAGGAGACGCCGAUAUAUGUUUGUGU